GCGCCCGUACCUCAGUUGGUAGAGCGAUGGAACAGCACUCCACAGUUGCCGGGUUCAAGUCCCGGCGGUCGCU